AUGCAGGCGCACCUCCAUGGCGCGCUCCGCCCGGAGCUCCGCAUCGAGGGAGCCCUUGGCGCGGUCGAGCUCCGCAUCCUUGGCCCGGAGCUCCGCCUCCAGCUUGCGCGCCGUGAUCUGGUACGUCUUGAGCAGAUGCCGCUGCUCCUCGGCAUGCGCGGAGAGGGCGGUGUUGCCCGCCGCCGCGGCGUCCCUGGCCGCGCCGGCGGGAUCCUUGAGGAACCUCCGCUUGGUGUCGGACAGCCUGGUGAGCUCCGCGACGACGGCGGCGUCCGCGGACUGAAUGGCCUCCGCGUCGUAGGGGAACUGCGCGAGCUGCAGCUGCGCGUAGGCCGCCUUGACGGCCGAGACGCCCGCGAACAGAUUGGCGAGGAGGGAGUCCGCGGCGGCAACCGUCGCGGCGGCCGGGGGCGAGGGCUGCUGCUGCGGCGCCCCGGCGGCCUUCUUCUCCGCGGCGUUGCGGAAGAAGGCGUCGAGGGAGUAGGCCGCGGCGAGGUUCCCAGAGAGCUUGAGCUUGCUGAGCGACGGCAUGGUGGGAGCCGUCGCGGUGGUGGGCGUCGUGGCGUCCAUGGAGCUGUCGUAGUCGUCCCCGGUGACGGACGGCGGCGCAUCGACUGUCUCCUUGGGCCCGGCCCCCGCCGCGGCGGAGUCGGAGCGCUUCCGGCGGAGGAGCUUGGUGAAGGUGCGCGCCAGGUUGGCCGCCUUCUGCUGCUGCUGCUGGUGGGUGUGGCUGUGGCUGUGGCUGUGGUGGUGCGUCGGCGGGCGGGCCGCCGCCAUGUGCGCCUCCAUUGCUCGCUCAGCGCCUCCCCUCCAGCUUCCCCUCCCCUCUUUGUGGCUGGCUGCUCCUGGCUCGGCUCGGCUGUGCUGUCUGUCUCUGCGGGAGGGAGGGGGGACGAAGGUGGGAGGGAGGAGUGGGAUAAAUUUCAGCAGGAAUAUUUGGGGGAUACUGUAAAGUAA
rnacentral:rRNA from 1 species